rnacentral:rRNA from 1 species
UACAGAGGUCUCAAGCGUUGUUCGGAUUCAUUGGGCGUAAAGGGUGCGUAGGCGGCGCGGUAAGUCGGGUGUGAAAGUCUCGGAGCUUAACUCCGAAACUGCAUUCGAUACUACCGUGCUUGAGGACUGGAGAGGAGACUGGAAUUUACGGUGUAGCGGUGAAAUGCGUAGAUAUCGUAAGGAAGACCAGUGGCGAAGGCGGGUCUCUGGACAGUUCCUGACACUGAGACACGGAGGCCAGGGGAGCAAAACGGG